CCAGGCAACUCGGAACUUUCAGACCUCCAACCAGAAAAAGGACCAUGAACGCCACGUGAAGUUUGAGCUCCUAAUUAAAUCUGUCCCCCGACUUCACGAGGAGCAGCUGAAUGAUGGCAGCACACAAUGGAAAUGGUCACCGAGCAUGUCACGUGACUGAAAAGAUGACACCUUUGCACAGUCUCACCCCCCCCCUCUUCCUAAAGAUGCCCUGUCUGAAACAAUGGGAACAGAAGUCUUUGACUUUGCCCAGGCAGCACAAAAAUGGCUUCCUAUGCUCCAGACCGGAUGGAUGGACAGAGCAGAGCAGGAG